rnacentral:rRNA from 2 species
GGAUGCGAUCAUACCAGCAUUAAAGCACCGGAAACUCCGAUGUUAAGCGUGCUUGGGCGAGAGUAGUACUGGGAUGGGUGACCUCCUCGGAAGUCCUCGUGUUGCAUUCC